AGAACUGAUAUUCCAAAGAGUGGAAUGAGGGGGUAACGCCCCAAAACGCUCUCCUUAAUACUCCUACAUGCUGUGCAACUGCUGAAAUGCACAGUAUGAAGCUAGGUGAAGUCGGCAGAGAGAUACCGUAAGGCAUGAAAAUGCCACGAAAGCUGUCCAGCGGUGGGCGGUGUAUCCUAUAUGCCGGAGGUCUAUAAA
rnacentral:ncRNA from 1 species